rnacentral:rRNA from 1 species
GAUGAACGCUAGCGGCAGGCCUAACACAUGCAAGUCGAGGGAGAGGUUACCUUCGGGUAACCAAAACCGGCGCACGGGUGCGUAACGCGUAUACAAUCUGCCUUUCACAUAGGGAUAGCCCGAAGAAAUUUGGAUUAAUACCUAAUGGUAUAUAAGAGCGGCAUCGUUUUUAUAUUAAAUCUACGGUGGUGAAAGAUGAGUAUGCGUUCUAUUAGCUAGUUGGAGAGGAAACGGCUCCCCAAGGCGACAAAAAAUAGGGUUCCUGAGAGGGAUGCCCCCCACACUGGCACUGAAAUAUUUUCAAGACUCCUACGGGAGU